UUGUGGUUAAAAAGCUCGUAGUUGGAUCUCAACAGCCUUGAAGCGGUUAACUUUGUAGUUUUACUGCUUUAUAGGAUGUGCUUUUGCUGGAGGUUUAGGGGUGCUCUUGAUCGAGUGUCUCUGGAUGCCAGCAGGUUUACUUUGAAAAAAUUAGAGUGCUCAAAGCAGGCUAAAAUGCCUGAAUAUUCGUGCAUGGAAUAAUAGAAUAGGAUGUCGAUCCUAUUUUGUUGGUUUUCGGGACUCGACAUAAUGAUAAAUAGGGACAGUCGGGGGCAUUUGUAUUCAAACGACAGAGGUGAAAUUCUUGGACCGUUUGAAGACAAACUACUGCGAAAGCAUUUGCCAAGAAUGUUUUCAUUAAUCAAGAACGAAAGUUAGAGGUUCGAAGGCGAUUAGAUACCGCCCUAGUUCUAACCAUAAACGAUGCCAGCUAGCGAUCUGCCUGCGUUUUUACUGUAGACUGGGCAGGAAGCUUCCGGGAAACCAAAGCAUUUGGGUUCCAGGGGAAGUAUGGUUACAAAGCUGAAACUUAAAGGAAUUGACGGAAGGGCACCACCAGGAGUGGAGCCUGUGGCUUAAUUUGACUCAACACGGGAAAUCUCACCAGGCCCGGACACUGGAAGGAUUGACAGAUUGAUAGCUCU
rnacentral:rRNA from 1 species